rnacentral:rRNA from 1 species
CGACUCUCGGCAACGGAUAUCUCGGCUCACGCAUCGAUGAAGAACGUAGCAAAAUGCGAUACUUGGUGUGAAUUGCAGAAUCCCGUGAACCAUCGAGUUUUUGAACGCAGGUUGCGCCCGAAGCCAUUUGGUUGAGGGCACGUCUGCUUGGGCGUCACG